GGGCACAUGGUGGCUUAGUGUUUAGCACGUUCGCCUCACACCUCUAGGGUCGGGGGUUCGAUUUCCACUGUGGCCC